AUGUUCGCGGCGAGAGGCGUUGGUACUCCUCCCACUUCGUCUCCACCGCCAUGCCGGGACCGCCGCAAGUGGCGAGUCCUCGACUCCCGCCACGGCCUCGCCCUCUUCGACACCCCUAAGAGGCACGAGGACUUCGUUGUCUACGACCUCCUCACCGGCGAGCACUGGGAAAUUCACGCCGACCCCAAGUGCCACUACUUCAUGUGGUGGCCCGACGACGACGACGACUUGCACGCGUGCCUACGCUGCAACGCCACACUGCUCUGCGCCAAGGACCGAUGUGGCCACCUCGACUGCCAUGGCGGUCCUUUCCGCAUGGCCUUCGUCGGCUGCGACUAUACAGGGAGGGCUGCCCACGCCACCGUCUACUCAUCAGAGACUCGUGAGUGGACUGACGUGACCUCCGUUGAGCACGAGCAUUACAUCCACUACACGGCGCACAGUGCUGUAGUGGGAGAUAAGGUCUAUGUCCCCUGUAUGGAGAGUGACAGUCUCAUCGUGUACAACAUGGGCAAGCGAGAACUAUCUGUGAUCGAUCCGCCAUUUGUGGUCCAGGCCAUUACUCUCAUGGGGGCGGAGGACGGCAUGCCGCUCUUUGCGUCCGUGGUGAAGCCUAGACUCUUACUGUGGUCAUUGGAGGCUGGUCCCAGCGGAGCUGCGAGAUGGACGCGACACAGGGUCAUCGAGCUCAAAUCAUUGCUCCCCACUACUGUCCUCUUGGACAACUCCGGCGUAACGCCGGUUGGUUUUGCUGAAGGUGUUGGUGUCAUCUUCCUGAGUACAAAGGCUGGGUUGUACACAAUUGAGCUCAGUUCACGCCGAAGCAAGAAGGUGCACGGAAGGCAAAGCAUGGAAAAGGUCAUUCCCUACAUGAGUUUCUACACUGGAGAAUGGGGGCCGUUGCUGGCCUCUGAUGAAGCUUCACCCGCAGUUGGUGGUGGUACAACGAUAUAA
rnacentral:rRNA from 1 species